UACCCAUGCUAUAGCCUGAAUGUUGUGUGC
rnacentral:piRNA from 1 species